rnacentral:lncRNA from 1 species
AAGGCCUGUCAGGGGGAGGGCUCCACUUCUCAGCCCAUCUGCAGUAGGUCCACAUUCGGGGCGGUGAGGAGGGUGCCCUAGCUCCCAUAGUAACCCCAGAAUUAGUCUCCUUAAAGGCUGGGGAUCAUGGCUUGUUCAAUAGUUUUUCUUCAGGUUCGGGCAUAUAGAAGGGGCUCAAUAAAUAGUCACAGAAUCAAUAACUAUUACAAAAGCCCCAUUGAUGGAAUGCUCGCUCCGUACCAAGGCUGAGAAGGGUGAUCUGUCACCCAAAGUAGGACCCCUUUGUUGCUCCCUGAACCAACAACCCAGAAGAGCCUGCCAGUUUUGUAGUUUUGUUUUUCCUUUUCUUGCUAUUUGGCCAGGAGCAGCAGUAGCAGCAGCUCCAAGAAGAGCACUGGCUCCUUCUUAGUCCCAUGGAAGCACAGAUCAACAUCAUUGCCCUUGCAAACUUCUCUCAGCUUAGGAGAGUCUACUCGCUCUUUGCACAUUGUUGACAUGAAAUGAAUAUUAAACACCAAACCUCAUAGAGGCCAGCCCUGCUGGGCGAGCAAUGAAC